GUGCUCACUUUGGCAGCACAUAUACUAAAACUAGAAUGAUACAAAGAAGAUUAGCAUGGCCCCUGCGUAAGGGUGACACACAAACUUGUGAAGCGUUCUCUAUUUUU